rnacentral:rRNA from 1 species
GGACUACCGGGGUAUCUAAUCCUGUUUGCUCCCCACGCUUUCGCGUCUUAGCGUCAGAAACCGUCCAGAUAGCCGCCUUCGCCACUGGUGUUCUUCCCAAUCUCUACGUAUUUCACCACUACACUGGGAAUUCCACUAUCCUCUCCGGUCCUCUAGUCGCCCAGUAUCAAGUGCAUUUCUUGAGUUGAGCUCAAGGCUUUCACACCUGACUAUGGCAACCGCCUACACGCGCUUUACGCCCAGUAAUUCCGAACAACGCUAGCCCCCUUCGUCUUACCGCGGCGGCUGGCAC